rnacentral:lncRNA from 1 species
AAGAUUCGCAAACAGCAUUGCAGAAACAUUUACGAAGCCCCUACUAUGCGUCAAAAUUGGCUUACUUUACAGUUCCAGAAAGUCGGUGCUGAAACUCACAGGCCAGUAUCCCUGUGAAAGAAAUGUAUGCACUUAGAAGAGUAACUCGCCACUAGCCAGCGCUCAAAAGCGCCCACUGUUAUUAUUACAACUCUUUCCCCUGGAAAAGAGGGGCCGGAAGGAGCCCGAGAAGUGGUCAGGAGUGCCUCUCUCCCAAAUGGUUCGGAGUGAAGAAUUUAAAUCAGUUGUCCCCAUCUCUCUCACUAGAAAGCAAAUCCAGCGCACUUUUAGAAAGUUGAAAUCUCUGUACUUGUCUCCUGAACCUCCUUUCUGAGCGCGAUCCGGAUCCGACCUUUUUCUCAAGACAGUGCAAGUGUGCAUUCAUGAGUUUGUUUGAGCCUGUGUUUGUCGUGCGUGUUUGAAUGCCAGUGUUUGCCUCGGAGGGUAAUGGGGGUGGGGGGGAGGAGGAAAAGUCGCCAAUAUCUAGUGCCUCCCUC